rnacentral:sRNA from 1 species
AAAGAGAAGAGAAAUAGAAA